UUUUAAUUGAAGGCUUGUAUGAAUGGUUGGACAAAGGAUAAGCUGUCUUUAUUUUUAUUUUUGAAUUUGUUUUUUAAGUGAAAAAACUUAAAUUAUUUUAAGGGACGAUAAGACCCUAUAAAUCUUUAUAUUAAUGUGUUUUUAUUUUGAUUUUUAAUGUGUGAAAAAUAUAUAGAUAUAUAAAUAUUAUAUUGGGGUGAUAAGAAUAAAAAAUAAACUGUUCUAAAAAAAAACAAAGUUGUUUGAUAAAAUAGAAGUAGUAGAUCCUUUUUAAAGAUUGAAAAUUUAAGUUACUUUAGGGAUAACAGCGUUAUUUUUUUUGAGAGUUCUAAUCGAAAAAAAAGUUUGCGACCUCGAUGUUGAAUUAAAAUUUCUUUGUGGGGUAGCUUCUACAGGAGAGAGUCUGUUCGACUUUUAAAAUUUUACGUGAUCU
rnacentral:rRNA from 1 species